GAACCUGUACUGGGUUAUUUUUGUCCCUGCUCCUCCCAACCCAAUUCAGGACUGGCUCACCCCUCUCCCCCACCCAAGGCUGCAGAGGCUGUGGGAGGUGCUGGGCCCUAGAGCUGUGUGUCCAGCCAGUCCUGGGUCCCCAAGAUUGACCAGCCACACACUGGGCUGGUGACCUGAGGAGGCUCGGCUUUGUAGAGCCCCGCUCAGGCACAGGGAGGAGAGGCCAGGGCUCCUGCCUUUUGCCACAUUGGCCUCCUGCAGUGAGGGCUCCGUGGGCUGGGGCUGCUGCCCCUGCCUACUUCCUGCCUGUCCCCAGAGGCUGAGGAGGGGGGGUACUGUGCCCACCACACGAUUAGGCCUCAGACCCAACUGUGGUCCUGGCUCCACGACAGUGGCUGCCACUCACUUUGUCC
rnacentral:sRNA from 1 species